rnacentral:rRNA from 1 species
GACGUAGGGCGCGAGCGUUGUCCGGAUUUAUUGGGCGUAAAGAGCUCGUAGGCGGCUUGUCGCGUCGUUCGUGAAAACCCACGGCUCAACUGUGGGCUUGCGGUCGAUACGGGCAGGCUGGAGUUCGGUAGGGGAGACUGGAAUUCCUGGUGUAGCGGUGAAAUGCGCAGAUAUCAGGAGGAACACCGGUGGCGCAGGCGGGUCUCUGGGCCGAUACUGACGCUGAGGAGCGAAAGCCAGGGGAGCAAACGGG